AUUGAACGCUGGCGGCAGGCCUAACACAUGCAAGUCGAGCGAGCGGCGGACGGGUGAGUAAUGUAUGGGGACUGCCCGAUAGAGGGGGAUAACUACUGGAAACGGUAGCUAAUACCGCAUACUAUCGGAUAACCCAUAUGGGAUUAGCUAGUAGGUGAGGUAAUGGCUCACGUAGGCGACGAUCCCUAGCUGGUCUGAGAGGAUGAUCAGCCACACUGAGACUGAGACACGGCCCAAACUCCUGCGGGGGCAGCAGUGGGAAAUAUUGCACAGGGGGCGCAAGCCUGAUGCAGCCAUGCCGCGUGUAUGAAGAGGGCCCUAGGGUUGUAAAGUACUUUCAGUCGGGAGGCGUUACCGACAGAAGAAGCGCCGGCUAACUCCGUGCCAGCAGCCGCGGUAAUAC
rnacentral:rRNA from 1 species